GAUGAAGAACGUAGCGAAAUGCGAUAAGUAGUGUGAAUUGCAGAAUUCAGUGAAUCAUCGAAUCUUUGAACGCACAUUGCGCCCCUUGGUAUCCCGAGGGGCAUGCCUGUUCGAGCGUCAUUUCACCACUCAACCCUGGCUUGGUGUUGGGCGACGUCCUCUUUGGGGACGCGCCUCGAAACGCUCGGCGGCGUGGCACCGGCUUUAAGCGUAGCAGAAUCUUUCGCUUUGGAAGUCGGGGCCCCGUCUGCCGGAAGACCUGCUCGCAAGGUUGACCUCGGAUCAGGCAGGGAUACCCGCUGAACUUAAGCAUAUCAAUAAGCGGAGGA
rnacentral:misc_RNA from 1 species